rnacentral:lncRNA from 1 species
UCCAAUACAUUGUGGCUGAAUCCACUUCAAGUUGGGGUUUUUUUGGGGGUUUUUUUUGGUUGGGUUUUUUUUUUUUUUUUUGCCUCUCACAAAGGAGAAUCCCAGAUACCUAGAGGCCAGAGGUCCAGGGCGAUGGGUGGGCUGUGUCGGGGCCCGGCCCAGCCUGGCCUUCCGACAGCAUCCAGGCAGGCCCUCUUUCCCUCCACCGUCUUGGAUGGGCUUAAUUUAUUGUAGGAAACCCUUGAAGGCGCAGGAGCUUUUGGAGAGCCGGGGACAAUAGGCAUAAAGCAUGCAUUUAAGCCGUCUGAAUGGAGGCUAGAUUUACUGUCUGGGCCAGACGGGAUUUUUGUCCCCAAGUCAUCUCGGAGUACAUUGGCCACUAAAGAUCUCAACAGAAGACGAAGACGGAACAAAAGAAGUAAAUUUUAAAAGGAACUUUGUCAAGGAGUUUUAGAUGUUCACCAGAUAGAAAACCGCGGCUGCCCUCACCGAAAUGACUUUUGGAUUUGCCCAGUGGUUAUGGAUCAGAGGAAGAUGCUAAUGAAGUCGUUUAAAUGCACGUUUGAUGGACCCCAGAGAAUGGGACCAAUUUCAUACAAGCCCACAGCAAGGUUAAGGAAUGAAAGAAGGUGGCCGUUAGAGUUGCUGCCGGGGACAAGGCUCCAUUGUCGGGGCUGCCUUUUUCAGCCGUGAAGCGUGAAGCGUGUUUUGAACUACAGUGUUUACCAACGUGUACAUCCUAGUCUGGCCGACCGGGCCUGCAGAAUUUAUGACCAGGAACAAACCUCUUAGAGGGGAAAAGAAAACAGCUCUUACCAGCUGGGAAAGGAGCUCAGAUCAUGCCCUGGAGAAGCAGGUGACAUCGCGGAAUUUUCCUGUUCCAGAUGCCAGAAGUCUGAAAUGAAGGUGUAAAGCAGGGUGGUUCCUUCUGGAGGCUCUGAGAGAAUCACCCCAGGCCUCUCUCCAGCUUCUGGUGCUGGUAUUCUCAGGCUUGUAGGCGCAUCACCCAUGUCUGCCUCCAUCUUCACAUGGCCUUCUCCUCUGUGUCUGCCUGAAGUCUCCCUUCAUUUCUCUUUGCUGGCUUGUGUUUGACACCAUGCCUGACACAUUGGGGGUGCUCAGUAGACCUGUGUGAGAUGGACAGCCUCCCGUACAGAUGGACGGACAGAUGUACAGGUAGGUGAAUGAACUUUCGUUGCCCCUAAAGCAGGAGAGACUCUGAGUUUCUGAGACAACGGCCAAGAACUUUCUGAUAAGAUCUCUGCAUUUAAGGUUCAGAAAAACUCGAUGAGGACAAUAUUUUUCUCCCGAUUUUGCAGAUAAGAAAAUAGAGGCAUAGAGAAGUCACUUGCUAGUAAAUGUUAGAGGCAGCUUUCUAACCCAGGUCCAUGUGAACCCAGAAAAAGAGGCAGUGAGCACCUGUUCACCCAGGAGCAGCUCUCAGAAGAUAAGAUAAUACGAGGAGGAGGCAGCAGACCCCUAUGCCACGCGUCCACCUGGGGCUGUCCAUCACUUCCUGCAAGAUCUUGCUGGUAGCCAGAUUCUCAGAGACCCCCAGUGAGCCCCGCCUCCUGGUUUUCACACCCUGUGUAGUUUCCUUUCCCCAGGGAUGGUCCAAGUGACCAGCAGCCCGUGGCAGAAGUGAUGGAAUAGCACUUCCAAGCUUAGGUUAUGAAAGAUUGCAGCUUCAAUCUCCUGCCCCACACCCCGUCUCUCUCUCUAACCCCACUCCCUCCCUCCCUCUCUCAUCUCUGACUCUGGGGGAAGCACACUGCAGCCCCGUGGAGAUGCCCUGUGUAAGCCACUGAAGCCUCUGGCCAACAGCAGUGGGAACCUGAGACGUGUCCACAAGCAUGCAUGGGAGCUUGGAAGUGGAUCCUUCAGCCCCAGCCAAGCCUUCAGACGAUGCAGCCUCAGGGACAGUAUGACUGCAGCCUCAUGAGACCCUGAGCCAGAAACACCCCUCCAAGCCACUCCCAGAUGCCUGGCCCUCAGAACCUGGGAGGUAAUAAAUAUUUAUGGCUGUUUGAAGCUGCUGUAUCGGGGGACAAUUUGUUACACAGUAAUAGCUAACUGGUGCAGUCCUGGGACUCUUAGCAGUUUGGAGUAUCAGUUAUUUUGCCAAGGCGGGGAAGUUAACAGUGGUCAUUGCAGCAGCUGCACUUGGGGACCACAAUAAAGAAGCUUUCUCAGACUGGUUUGAACAAAGUGGUGAAUUCUCUGCAAGGACACAGAGGUGUCUCUCAAAACCCAAGGAUGGGACAGCAGGCCUCAAGAAGAACUGGAACCUCUGUCCCUUCUGUGCUUCUUUUUACUCCUGUGUUCUCUGCUUCUUGGAGCACUUGGCAGUUGGGAAGUGGCCAUUUCAAUUCUCGUGGUCAAGAAACCAGCUCAGAAAUAACCCAACCAACACAGGUGGGGUCAGGUGUCCAUCCUGGCUCCAUUUGUCAUGGCGGGAGAUGGUGAUGAAGAGAAACAUCCAGGACCAUUGGUAGGGCACCCGAAUGAGAUUCCAGGAGAGGCCAGUUCUAAGAGAAGGGUACUAGAAAGAUACCCAUUGAAGUCAAUACCACAUGUGGCACAUCCUCCUUUCAGGUGGCAAGUGUGUAGCCAAAGCAAGGUUCAGGGUCCAUAUUUGAAAGUCAGAAACUGAAUAAACUGUUUUCUCCCACCCCGAGCACUGUGGGGAACUCUGCUCACAAAUCCACCAUCCACCAUCACCAGCCGUGCUCAUCUGACCAUUCAUGCAGGCUCACACUUGACCUGAUGUGGGUUCUGUCUCCUUUGCUUGAGAAUUGAAAGGCCUGGGAGAUGCAAAAGCUUUAGGCUCCAGCCAUCUCCCCAUGUCAGGUAGGCCUUUUGCCUAGUGUAUCCAGUUGGUAAUGCUGCAGAGAUGCAUGAAGCUGGAGUCAGAGGCCACCUGUAGUGCUGCCCUGACUUCAGACCUGAGCCCAGCCCAGCAGCAGAGAGGGGGCUGGGAGCCAGAGGAGGCCUCACAGUAACAGCACAGACAGGUGGGGGCCCACAACAGGCCACAUGUGUUCAAACUCGAGUGUGGGCAGAGGAGCAUGGGAAGCUCAGAGCCCUGAGCUCACCCCACACCCAACACGAGUGGGGUCACCCAAAAUCAGCCUGUCAGCACUGUCCCAGCAGCCAGUCGCAUGCUACAUUAACAAAUUUUGCACAGGCCAGCAAGCAGGAUCGCUCACCAGCCACCCUCCUGAACUGGCCUAUGGGGCCCCAGGAUGAUGCCAUAGCCACAAGUCUGGAGUUCCUCAAAGUACCUGGUCAGCACAACUCAGUUAAACAAUGGGCAAAAGACCUGAACAGACACUUCGCCAGAGAAGAUGUACAGAUGCAAGUAAGCAUUUGAAAAGGUGCCCCACAUCGUAUGUCGUUAGGGAAUGGUCCAAUCCAGAACACUGAUGGCACCAAAGGCUGCUGAGCAUGUGGAGCAGCAGAACUCUCAUUCACUGCUGGUGAGAAAAAUGGCGCAGCCCCAAUAGGGAACCCUAAUGCAGACUCUGGACUUCACUGGAAAUGACGUGUCAGUGUAGCUGCGUCAGUUGUAACAAAUGCACCAGUCUGGUGGGCGUGUUGAUAACCGGGGCUGCGCACGUGGGGAGAGAGGACCUGUGGGAAUGCUCUACUUUCCACUCAUUUUUGCUGUGAACUUAAAACUGCUCUUACAAAAUAACAUUGUUUGUUGUUGUUGUUGUUGUUGUUGUUGUUGUUGUUUUUAAGUAUCUAGUCAGCUCCACACAUGACCCGGGCAGAGUGGGAAGUUGUAGAGUGCCCCAAGGAGAGAAAUGGAACCAGGUCUCAUGUGGGGCCAAGUGUGGGCUCCCUGUCCUCUCAGCUGGUCCCAGGAACUGAAGGGAAAUUUAGACAACUUGGAGAAAGACACUCUAGGGCUCGGGGCAAAGGGUGGUGUUGAUGAGAACCAUAUUUUUUUAUUGCUGGUGUAAGCACUUGUAUUUUUCUGAUUUUCCACUGGUUCGAUAAUAAGGGUAAAAGACAAUAAAGCAUACUUUUUAAGCUUU